UCUUACUCUUUUCUAUUUUCGACCCUAUAUAAUUGUUUAUGGUUUAAACCCUAAGCUCUUUUUCGAAGAGGAGUGGUCACACCGUAAAACAUGGCUGCUCCUCCUUCACCCUCUUCUUCAUCUCUACAAUCUGAGGCUUAAUCUAUGUUAUCUGAGUUGUUCUUAUGCAACCAAGUUUCUACCUUGCACGACAGAACAAGGAAAACCAGACACCCAGAUGUUAUUACAAUUUGAUGGAACAUAAGACAUUGUUGCAUCGAAUGAUGGAAGUGUUUUUCUGUUGUUGUUUGUUGUUACAGCUCUGUAUCAAUCAGAGUCUCAGUAUCAAUGAAAGGUGGUUUUUGAAAGCAACAUUAGUUUCUUGUUCUUCAGCUAUUGGUUCGAAGUUCAGUUUACCUCAAAUUUUGGGAUACAAAGCUAUGUCUCAUAAAGAACCAAAUAGCAGUUGCUUUCAGGAAAACACAUAUACGGAUUUAUUUAAGAUGAAGAUGAAACUGUAAUUAGAAGCUAUGCACUACACAGAUGAAACUCUAAUGUUGAUGCUGAAAUUGUGAAUGAACCCUCUUUUUGAGGGCUAUGAUCUGAGGUCCUCACUGUAACCUAUGUUGUACUCCAUGGCAGCUUCUACAAGUGUGCUUCACUUAGAAUCUAUGUUCUUGUACCUGCGGAAGAGAGUUCCCCUUCGAAACUUCAAAAUCUGUCACUGUUUCAAUACUUUACCAAAUACCUUUGAAGUAUUAAGUCUAUGUUUUUGUACUUUAUGUUGAUGUACUUUUGAACCUUUUUUUUUUUCUUUGCUGUUGUUUGCAGCAGCAGAUUUUAAUAAGUUGUGGUGACGUGGAUUAUAUAUAUAUAUAGAAAGUGAGAGUUUGUUUGCCUAUA